CAUGCAAGUCGAACGAACCUUCGGGUUAGUGGCGGACGGGUGAGUAACGCGUGAGAAUCUGCCCUCAGGAGGGGGAUAACGGUUGGAAACGACCGCUAAUACCCCAUAUGCCUACUGGUGAAACGAAUUUCGCCUGAGGAUGAGCUCGCGUCUGAUUAGCUAGUUGGUGAGGUAAUGGCUCACCAAGGCUUCGAUCAGUAGCUGGUCUGAGAGGAUGAUCAGCCACACUGGGACUGAGACACGGCCCAGACUCCUACGGGAGGCAGCAGUGGGGAAUUUUCCGCAAUGGGCGAAAGCCUGACGGAGCAACGCCGCGUGAGGGACGAAGGCCUCUGGGCUGUAAACCUCUUUUCUCAAGGAAGAAGAUAUGACGGUACUUGAGGAAUAAGCCACGGCUAAUUCCGUGCCAGCAGCCGCGGUAAUACGGGAGUGGCAAGCGUUAUCCGGAAUUAUUGGGCGUAAAGCGUCCGCAGGCGGCUUUUCAAGUCUGCUGUUAAAGCGUGGAGCUUAACUCCAUCAUGGCAGUGGAAACUGAAAGGCUUGAGUAUGGUAGGGGCAGAGGGAAUUCCCGGUGUAGCGGUGAAAUGCGUAGAUAUCGGGAAGAACACCAGUGGCGAAGGCGCUCUGCUGGGCCAUUACUGACGCUCAUGGACGAAAGCCAGGGGAGCGAAAGGGAUUAGAUACCCCUGUAGUCCUGGCCGUAAACGAUGAACACUAGGUGUCGGGGGAAUCGACCCCUUCGGUGUCGUAGCUAACGCGUUAAGUGUUCCGCCUGGGGAGUACGCACGCAAGUGUGAAACUCAAAGGAAUUGACGGGGGCCCGCACAAGCGGUGGAGUAUGUGGUUUAAUUCGAUGCAACGCGAAGAACCUUACCAGGGUUUGACAUCCUGCGAACCUCUAGAAAUUUGAGGGUGCCUUCGGGAAUGCAGUGACAGGUGUGCAUGCUGUCGUCAGCUCGUGUCGUGAGAUGUGGAUAGUCCCGCACGAGCGCAUCCACGUUUUAGUGCAGCAUUUAGUGGUACUCUAGAAAGACGCGUGAUAAUCGAGAAAGGGUGGAUGACGUCAAGCAUCAUGUCCUACACCCUGGCUACCACGUACUACAUGUACGACAAAGGAGCAAACUCCGGGAGGCUAGAGAAAAUCCAUAAACCGGGUGCUGACAUCAUCUAUCCAUGAGGCUGCUGGCA
rnacentral:rRNA from 1 species